GAUGAAGAACGUAGCGAAAUGCGAUAAGUAAUGUGAAUUGCAGAAUUCAGUGAAUCAUCGAAUCUUUGAACGCACCUUGCACCCUUUGGUAUUCCGAAGGGUAUGCUCGUUUGAGUGUCAUUGUACUCUCACACUUCUAAUUCCUUUCGGGAUUGGGAGCGGUGGACUUGGGUGUUGCUGCUUUAGUUGUGGCUCACCUCAAAUAAGUUAGUGCAACUCUUGGUUGGACAUAGCACGGCGUGAUAAGUGUCUUCGCCGGCGCCUCUGUAAGGAGGGUGGCCGAUCGGGAGCUCUGUGCUUCAAACCGUCUUCGGACAAUCUUUGACAACUUGACCUCAAAUCGAGUAGGACUACCCGCUGAACUUAAGCAUAUCAAUAAGCGGAGGA
rnacentral:misc_RNA from 1 species